GCUGGGUGCGGUAGUGCAUGCCUGUAAUCCCAGUGGCUUGGGAGGCUGAGACAGGAAGAUUACGCAUUCAAAGCCAGCCUCAGGAACUCAGCAAGAUCCUGUCUCUA
rnacentral:sRNA from 1 species